rnacentral:lncRNA from 1 species
AGAAGCUGAGAUAAAAUCUAGAGACAUCAAAGAGAACCCAAAAAUUACAUCAAGGCAUCAAAACAAGACUGCCAAAAAAAACCAUCAGAACAUCCAGAACAGCACAUCAUCAUAAAAGGGGAGCAAUCUUCACCAAAACUCAGUCAGAGGAGCUUGCAUCUUCAUCAGCUUCAGACCCAAAACUGCCACUUGAUUCAUCUUGAGAUUCAGACCUCUCAC